AUGAUGAGUGGAGGUGAUGAUGAGGUAAAGGGUUUAGGGGGACAUGAUGAGUGGAGGUGAUGAUGAGGUAAAGGGUUUAGGGGGACAGGAUGAGUGGAGGUGAUGAUGAGGUACAGGGUUUAGAGGGACAGGAUGAGUGGAGUUGAUGAUGAGGUAAAGGGUUUAGGGGGACAGGAUGAGUGGAGGUGAUGAUGAGGUACAGGGUUUAGAGGGACAGGAUGAGUGGAGGUGAUGAUGAGGUGAGGGGUUUAGGGGGACAGGAUGAGUGGAGGUGAUGAUGAGGUACAGGGUUUAGAGGGACAGGAUGAGUGGAGGUGAUGAUGAGGUGAGGGGUUUAGGGGGACAGGAUGAGU
ensembl:lncRNA